rnacentral:rRNA from 1 species
GUCUACAGCCAUGCUACCCUGAACAAGCCCGAUCCCGUCCGAUCUCGGAAGCUAAGCAGAGUUGGGCCUGGUUAGUACUUGGAUGGGAGACCACCUAGGAAGACCAGCUGCUGUAGGUG